GUACCCAUCCUCUUGCAGUACCCAUGCUCCUGCACUUAUCCCCACAAGAUACAGACUCCCUGAUGCAGGACCUACAGGAGCUGAUGGGGAGUUUCACGGGGCCAGAUUAUCAUGUAACCCCAAAGGUUGUGCGAUGCAGAGAUUUGCCUGCCCCGGCAUCUUCUCUGUGCUGCAUGUGACAUAGCCACCCAUAGCACCAAGGUUUUGCACAACAAGGAGUCUCUGUUUGAAGAGUUACUUCGCCCCUUGUCCUCAAUCACCGUAAUUCAUCAGGAUGAUUAGGGGUCCCUUAACUUCCAGGAGCUGAAGGGCGCUACAACCUGUCCCUUCCUGCUCUGAACUGCUCCAGAUAUCUGAGACAUUGGACAGUAGGGCUGGACGAAGUUGUAAAGAGUGGCUACUGGCCAGCUACCGUGACUCACCAGACCAUCUUCACAAUGGACCUCUUCAAGUCCUUUGAAGACAUGAAGGUGUUGGCCCCAGGAUGCUCCCCAUCAAGCCUUUGUGGGAAUUCUUGACAGAAGAACAAAGCCCUUUGGCAGGAGUGGAAAGAUAUGUGGUGACACAUUCCAGAAGGCAUUCCUCGAUUGGACGCGUGGGCGGUUUGAAAUAGACCAGCUUUGUGGACGCGAUCUCCUCCAUUGUCUUGCCUGCUCACAGGAGAUGCAUGCUGUAUCAGUGGAUAGGAAUUGCAAGAAAUACUGCUUCCAUAAAGCUUCAGGCUCCAGCACACUUCAAUUAAGAAGAUCAACCUAAUUGCCCCUUUCCUUGCCACGGUGGAGAGACUUGCGUACUCCAAUUACCCUGAGUGCUAAGCCAGAAGGGGGUUUAUAGUCCCGGCAGGUGCAACCAAGCCGGCCAGGUCAAAGGGUAGGAGGCAGACAAAACAGUCCAUAGUCCUCCAUGUCGGGGGUUGGGCUUGGGGCUAACUACCCCACCCCGGAAGAACUGAAAGAUUGACAUAUGGAAACCAAAUAAACUGCCCCAAAGCAGAACAUUUUCUUGGACACAUCUUACUGCUGAAGGGAGAAGCUGACAGCGAAGGACAAUUACUUUUUGGGCUUAACUGAUGAUGCUAGGAUGAUAUUAUGUUAUGAUAUGUUAAUGAUUUUAUUGUUGUUUUUUUUAAAUCUUACACAUGACUGUAAUUGCAGUCUUUAUGUUGAUUGGUUAGGCACACAGUAGUAAUUUAUUAGAAUAACUGACUGAAGAUGUUUUUCCAACAGUACGGGGGCUUUCAUUAAAAAAAAUGUUUUACCUGCUUUCUCCUUAUUGUUUAUUUCAUUUACAUUUAC
rnacentral:lncRNA from 1 species